rnacentral:rRNA from 1 species
UACGUAGGGUGCGAGCGUUAAUCGGAAUUACUGGGCGUAAAGCGUGCGCAGGCGGUUCGUUGUGUCGGCGGUGAAAGCCCCGGGCUUAACCUGGGAAUGGCCGUUGAAACUGGCGAACUGGAGUGUGGCAGAGGGGGGUGGAAUUCCGCGUGUAGCAGUGAAAUGCGUAGAGAUGUGGAGGAACACCGAUGGCGAAGGCAGCCCCCUGGGCUAACACUGACGCUCAUGCACGAAAGCGUGGGGAGCAAACAGG